CCCGCAGCCCUGGACAAGGUAUGGCAGGUGUGGCAUCCGCUUUGCUGAAGCUCAUCCCACAUGGAUCAUGCCCGUCGAUGGCGACCGACACCACCCGGGUGACGAACGUGCUCAGAGCUCUGAGGUGACACAGAUGACACAGAAAUGCCCCAGCUGUUGUGGGUGGAAGAAUAGGCUCACCUGCUCAGCCUCCCUGAGAAGCAGGCAAACACUGAAUCACCUAAACUGCAAACUGACUUUCCUAUAUGGUGUCUGCUGAUUUUCUUGCCUUGAUGGACCAGGAGGUUCUUCAAUGGUCAGUUCUAAAGUAGAAGGGAAGUGUAGAUACAUUCAAGAGAGACUCUGCUUUUGUAAAGAAGCUUAAAUUCUGGAAUUCUAGAAACACUGGUAAUGGUUUUGAUUUGAACCUGAAUGCAAAUAUGAGUUGCCUCUUUUGCCCAUUGACUAGAUGAGUGGGCUAAAGACUAUUAACACUAUACCAUAAUAUCGUCCCUUAUGAAGUGGGAGAGAACAUGGAUCA